ACCAUGCGCUUACUGUUAUAUUUGUGUUUUUGUUAUCAUAAUAAGCAUAUAAGAUUCUGACAAUGAGGAAUUAUGUGCUGCAGGAACCAUGUUGAUUAAGGCCAGACUUUGUGGCCAGAGCUGGAUCUGAAAGAGUUUUUGAUUGCAGCAUUUGCAAAGUUUGGUGUGCCAGCUGUGACAGAGGGUGUAAAGGUUGUUGACAGUUCGGGAACUGAGUUGGAUGACGACGUAUUUGGGGAUGUAGUUAAGGAUCCCUCAGCUGUGUGCUAACCAUCAAAUAUGACACAGGUUUGUCUCAGUUACAUUUGUAAUUUAUAUUGCAGUAUUUAAUGGACAUGCUAGUUCCUUGUGGUUAAUAUUUUUCCUUCCAUCUGCUUCUCCUAUGACGGUCAGAAUCUGUCUCCAUGGCACCAUCUCCUGAGCAGUCUGAACCACCAACCCUUGAGUCGUCUGAUUCUCAAGAUACAGACAUCGUUUCAGAGAGUCCCUCCGGUAAACGGCAGAGGCUGGACACAGAAGCCAAGCACUUGGUGGAAUCCAUUCUUGCCAAGAAACCUGGUGGGGAACGCAUAAUAAAUGAAUAUAAUCGAAGCAAGUCCCUGACAGAUGAAACCAGAAGGAAAAUGGUGAACAUACUGGCAGCAGACAUGACAGAGAAGAAUGGGUAAUUUGUAAAUAGUUUAUAGUUAGCACAAUGUAGCUUUUAGAUUAAAUUAAAAUCUUUGUUAAAUCCAGUGUAUACAACUGAGAAAUAUUUACUUUUUUAAUCUUGCAGUACAUCACCACAUCACUUCAAAUUCCAAUUUUUGAACAUGCGAUUCAUGGGACUGUAGUUCAAGUUACUGGGGACAAUCUUGGUUUGCAUGGUCUGUUUGGCUUUGUGGAGUCAUUUGGGGCUCGAUAUUGCUGUCGUUUCUGUCUCCUUGAGAAACACUGUUUUCAAACUGUAUUCUGUGAAGAUGAUCCGGAAGUUGUUUUAAGAGCUGUUGAUGCGCAUGCACAGCACUUUCAGACUGUACAAACAGAUCCUAGGCUGCCUCAUGUAUAUGGUGUGAAAUGCGUUUGUCUGUUGAAUUCACUUAAGUAUUUCAACACAGCCAACAACUUUGCUGUAGAUAUAAUGCAUGAUAUUUUAGAGGGGGUUGGUCAGUUUGAGGUGAAACUGAUUCUGAAGUACAUUCAAGGCAACUUCCUAAGUGCUGAAAAAGUGGCUGGUAGAAUACAUGCAUAUGACUAUGGUUUCAAUCAGCAGCGAAACCGUCCACCUCUGCCCAACAGAUAAGUUGAUGGGUGGAAGUAAUGAUUUGGGGUUGAAUGCCAUACAGUCGUAAUUGGUGCUUGUUACGCAAUAUGCCUUUGCUAUUUGGUAAUUUAAUCGAGGCAGAUGAUAAACACUGGCAUCUCCUACUUUUGCUUCUACAUAUUGUUAACAUUGUAUUUUUACCAGUCCUGUCAGAAUGCAUGACCAUAUACCUCAAACAUUUAAUCAUUGAUCAUCAUCGGUUGUUCAAGCAAUUAUUUCCUGAAAUAAAUCUCUUGCCAAAGCAUCACUUCAUGAUACAUUACCCUCGUAACAUAAAGCACAUUGGUCUGAUUUUGCACACAUGUUGCAUGCGUUACGAAGCCAAACAUAAAUUCUUCAAGCAACAAUUAAAAAGCUUUAAAAACAUUACAAAGACAUUAGCCAAAAAGCACCAAAGUUAUAUGGCAAUGAAUCUUUUAGCAAGGAAAGAUUAAUUUUAGGUCCAGGAAAGAUGGUGACACUUUUUGAGUUAAAACAGGGUGCAACAAUUGCUGCAAAAUUUGGAACUGUUUUGUCAACCAGUGUGUUUUCUGCCAAAUGGAUUAAAUAUCACGGUACAGAGUACCGUCGUGACUUCAUUAUAUGUACUGAGGUAGCAUGUGAGAUGCCUGUAUUUUGUAAGAUUGACACGAUUGUUGUAAAAGAUAACUGUGUUUUGCUCUGUGGAAAAUUGAUGGAAACAAUGUGUUUUGAUAACCAUUAACACGCCUUGAAGGUCCAGCUCCAUCCAGACAAGUUCUAAAAGUGUUGCACAUAAAUGAUCUUUUUUACUUCAAACCAUUUGAUGUUCAAAUGAAGUAUGGUACAACAGAUACCGCCUUAUAUGCUGUUCCAUAUUGCCAUUUUAUGCAGACCUAAGGUCAGUGUUCAAAAGUGGUGGCAUUGUUAGGCUGACCAAAAGUUAACUGUUUUUAUGCUUAUUUACAUUUCACUUGGAGCUCUGUAAUGGCAGCGAAAGUACUGUUACACAACCUUAUUGUUACAUUAUGGCUUGUGUUUUUCCAAAGGUUUUAAUGUGGUGCAUGUGAACAAGUUGUUGUAUUGGGGUGCCUGGCACGGCAGGCACACCCAUUGCACAACUAUUCACUUUUUUUAUUUUUUUAAAUGUAGCACGUGAUCAGUUAAGUGCUUUUGUACAACUAAAAGUUGAAAAUACAAAUGUUAAAUGCAUCUUGAAAAGGUGCUUUUGUACAAUUAAAAGUGA